rnacentral:rRNA from 1 species
UACAGAGGGGGCAAGCGUUGUUCGGAAUUACUGGGCGUAAAGGGCGCGUAGGCGGCCUCUUAAGUCGAACGUGAAAUCCCCGGGCUCAACCCGGGAACUGCGUCCGAUACUGGGAGGCUUGAAUCCGGGAGAGGGAUGUGGAAUUCCAGGUGUAGCGGUGAAAUGCGUAGAUAUCUGGAGGAACACCGGUGGCGAAGGCGGCAUCCUGGGCCGGUAUUGACGCUGAGGCGCGAAAGCUAGGGGAGCAAACGGG